UACGAAGGGGGCUAGCGUUGUUCGGAUUUACUGGGCGUAAAGCGCACGUAGGCGGACUCUUAAGUCGGUGGUGAAAUCCUGGAGCUCAACUCCAGAACUGCCUUCGAUACUGAGAGUCUCGAGUCCGGGAGAGGUGAGUGGAACUGCGAGUGUAGAGGUGAAAUUCGUAGAUAUUCGCAAGAACACCAGUGGCGAAGGCGGCUCACUGGCCCGGUACUGACGCUGAGACGCGAAAGCGUGGGGAGCGAACAGG
rnacentral:rRNA from 1 species